UAUCCCUUUCGUGAUGAAUGAUUUAACAGAAGAGUUCUUGAAGACUAUAUUCAUCACCCAAUUCUGAAGUGAUUC
rnacentral:snoRNA from 15 species